GUCCUUUUGAGAAUAAUAUAAGGUCGGGCCUGCUCAAUGAUAGUAUUGAAUAGCUGCAGUAUUUUGACUGUACUAAGGUAGCAUAAUCAUUAGUUUUUUAAUUGGAAACUGGAAUGAAGGGUUUGAUGAGAAAAUGACUGUAUCCUUUGUAAUUAUAGAAUUUUAUUUUUAAGUAAAAAAGCUUAAAUGAUGUUAAAAGACGAGAAGACCCUAUAGAGUUUAAUAAUUAAAAAAUUUUUGGUAAACAAGUUAGAAAUUUACUUUGAUUUGAGAAAUUAUUUGGUUGGGGUGACUAAAAAAUUAAAUAAACUUUUGUGAUUAAAACUUUAAUUUAAGGUUAGUUUGAUCCGUUUUUAACGAUUAUAAGAAUAAAUUACCUUAGGGAUAACAGCGUUAUCUUUUUUUAGAGUUCAAAUCGAUAAAAUGGAUUGCGA
rnacentral:rRNA from 1 species